AUUGAACGCUGGCGGAAUGCUUUACACAUGCAAGUCGAACGGCAGCACGGGGGCAACCCUGGUGGCGAGUGGCGAACGGGUGAGUAAUACAUCGGAACGUGCCCAGUCGUGGGGGAUAACUACGCGAAAGCGUAGCUAAUACCGCAUACGAACUCAGGUUGAAAGCGGGGGAUCGCAAGACCUCGCGCGAUUGGAGCGGCCGAUGGCAGAUUAGGUAGUUGGUGGGGUAAAGGCUCACCAAGCCGACGAUCUGUAGCUGGUCUGAGAGGACGACCAGUCACACUGGGACUGAGACACGGCCCAGACUCCUACGGGAGGCAGCAGUGGGGAAUUUUGGACAAUGGGCGCAAGCCUGAUCCAGCCAUUCCGCGUGCAGGAUGAAGGCCCUCGGGUUGUAAACUGCUUUUGUACGGAACGAAACGCGCCGGGUUAAUACCUCGGCGUAAUGACGGUACCGUAAGAAUAAGCACCGGCUAACUACGUGCCAGCCGCCGCGGUAAAAC
rnacentral:rRNA from 1 species